ensembl:lncRNA
GAAUCACAGAAAGAGAUGGGAGGAAGGAAGUCACCCUCCAUCUUCUGAAGCCGAGGCCUACAGGGUAAAGAAUUGCUGAUUCCUGGAGAUACACGCUUUCUCUCUGGUCAGAACUGACUACUGAACUAGCAUGUGAAUUCCCAAAUUCUGGCAUGAAUCUGCAGCUCAUUGCUAUCCAGCUCCUUCCUGUGGUCUGCAUGGCUACCAUUCAACCAGCGCACGCUGUGAAGACCAGAGGCCUUCAUCCAAGGGAGCUCUCAGGUACAUGUGACCUUUUUCCUCCACAGAGCUCUCAAAAUGUAAUCAGGAUAGCUGGGAAUAUUCAUCCAAUUAUUUUAAACAAUCCCAGGGAGAUGAGUAUUUCUUCAGUUGAUACAGACACAAAAGUUUACUACCAUAUUUUCAACGAGUCAGACGGAAAUUGCACUUCUGUUUUUUUGUUACAAAAAAUCACCCUUUUUAGUGCCUUAUGUUUCUUGGCAGUUCAUACUGCAGCCACCUUCAGCAUAUCUGAGCUUAUACAACUAUCAAUGAAUCCUGAUCGCUCACUUCUUCAGUGCAGGCAGCAUCAUAUUGCUGACUGCAUACUUUUUGCGCACAAGAAACGCUUCUGGAAAGGAGUUAGUCCUUUGAGGUCUUGUAACAGUAAGUCUUGUACCCUAAAACAGUAACAAACUUCCCACACUCUUUCUAUGCCAGCUUAACCUCACUCUACAAGGAACUAUGGCAAUAGCAAUGUCCAUGGUUACAGUUACAAUUAAAUAUAUACAUUUCAGUUCUAUACCCCAAUCCUAGAUCUACUCUGCUUUGCUACACAUGAAUUUCUUACUUCCUUAUGACUGCGCGUGCUUCAACAAGGAGACUUUCCCAAAACUUCAUAGGCCUUCUCUGUCAGGUAUUGGAUAUAGGAGUAGUUGUGAGAACUCAGCCACAAGUAUGGUACGAGAAAGUGAUUAUCAUAAACUGCUCAGGCUGUACAUGAAAAGCUCCACCAGCUCUACUGGAUCCAGACAGACACGCUUUGGCAAAAGAAGUUUAGUUGGUUGUAGGGAUGGUACAACCGAGCAGUUUCUGGAGCUAAGGAGUGAUGUAGCAUAAGAAGUGCAAUGCUUGUGAUUUCGAAGUUGGGGUAUAUAGCCUACAAAAGAAAGAAAAAUAAGAGAGUACUCAGAUUUUGGGGAUGAUAACUCCAACUUCAGGAUUCUUAUAAAUUUGAACAGGUUCAGAAUCCCAAUUCCUGCUGUCUCACUGCAUUUUGUUUUUAAUGUCCCUCCUCAGGGCAGGAUGUCACAGCUGCUUAAAUCAGCACCGAGAUCCCCACUGAAUUUUGGGGGUAGCUGGAUUAGUUGAUAGGCCGUUGUAGUGGAAAGGCAUGCAAUUAAAAGCACCAGUGUUCUCCCUCCUAGAACUGAGGAUGACCAAGUACGAUUGCUCAAGUGAGGUUGCACAGCGUAACCAGGAUCCGAAGCUGUCGGGGUAGCUGGUUGUAUUUUAGAUGCAAGUGAAACUCUGCCCAGGCAGAAGCUACAGUUCAGCAAUUUAGAGCCACCGGGGCUCUUUGCAGGCACACUGGGGGUUUUGAGUCAGAGAUGUAAUUUCCAAAUUGUAGGGUUUGAUCCGGUGAGGUAACCGCAGCGUAGCAGCUUCACCACAGCCAGAGACUUGUGGCAGCUGUGCGGUUCACCAGGAAGAGUCUUCAGCCGGACGGUAACUCCCAGGUGCCUCGUGCUGAGUGGAUGGGAUAGAUAGGACGACAUUAUGAAUGGGUCGCAUUUAGUGCUUAUUUCCUUACUUGAGCGUGCCCUGGCCAUUUUAAAAAUAAUUGGCUAUUUCCUCCCGGUCUUAUUGGUAUGAAGGGAUGUCCUGCCCCCGCAUCAACUCCGAACUUGAGAGGAAGUGAAGACAGCGCUCCCAUAACCAAAGAUACGCUACGUAAACUGUCCUUGCCUCUCGCUUUCCCUUAUCUGAAAUGAAUGAAUUUCGGAACAGUGCACGAAGCCCGGCAGUAAGCGAGGUUAUCCGAGUGACGGCGCUCAGCGAUGCCGGGGCCCGCGAAGCUUUCGGAGGGGUCGUCCCGGCGGGGUAUCGGACGCCGGGAGGAGGGGCCGUUUAGGCCGCGGGGAGGCGGCCCGUCCCGCAGCCGGCCGUCCCG